rnacentral:rRNA from 1 species
GUGGGGUAACGGCCUACCAAGGCGACGACGGGUAGCUGGUCUGAGAGGAUGGCCAGCCACAUUGGGACUGAGAUACGGCCCAGACUCCUACGGGAGGCAGCAGUGGGGAAUACUGCGCAAUGGCCGCAAGGCUGACGCAGCGACGCCGCGUGUGGGAUGAAGGCCUUCGGGUCGUAAACCACUGUCAGGAGGGACGAAUACCCGGCUUCGAAUAGGAGACCGGGGGUGACGGUACCUCCAGAGGAAGCACCGGCUAACUCCGUGCCAGCAGCCGCGGUAAUACGGAGGGUGCAAGCGUUGUCUGGAAUCACUGGGCGUAAAGCGCGCGUAGGCGGCUUCCUAAGUCACUUGUGAAAUCUCGGGGCUCAACUCCGGGACUGCAGGUGAUACUGGGUAGCUAGAGCUCGGUAGAGGCGAGUGGAAUUCCCGGUGUAGCGGUGGAAUGCGUAGAUAUCGGGAAGAACACCAGUGGCGAAGGCGGCUCGCUGGGCCGGUGCUGACGCUGAGGUGCGAAAGCGUGGGGAGCAAACAGGAUUAGACACCCUGGUAGUCCACGCCGUAAACGCUGGGCACUAGGUGUCGGGAGGCUUGGCCCUCUCGGUGUCGAAGCUAACGCAUUAAGUG